rnacentral:rRNA from 1 species
AGAGUUUGGUCCUGGCUCAGGAUGAACGCUAGCUACAGGCUUAACACAUGCAAGUCGAGGGGAAACGAUAUUGGAAGCUUGCUUCCGAUAGGCGUCGACCGGCGCACGGGUGAGUAACGCGUAUCCAACCUGCCCAUCACUUGGGAAUAACCUUGCGAAAGUAAGACUAAUGCCCAAUGACAUUUAUAGAAGGCAUCGGAAAUGAAUUAAAGAUUUAUUGGUGAUGGAUGGGGAUGCGUCUGAUUAGCUUGUUGGCGGGGUAACGGCCCACCAAGGCGACGAUCAGUAGGGGUUCUGAGAGGAAGGUCCCCCACAUUGGAACUGAGACACGGUCCAAACUCCUACGGGAGGCAGCAGUGAGGAAUAUUGGUCAAUGGGCGAGAGCCUGAACCAGCCAAGUAGCGUGCAGGAUGACGGCCCUAUGGGUUGUAAACUGCUUUUAUAGGGGAAUAAAGUGAGCCACGUGUGGUUUUUCGCAUGUACCCUAUGAAUAAGGACCGGCUAAUUCCGUGCCAGCAGCCGCGGUAAUACGGAAGGUCCGGGCGUUAUCCGGAUUUAUUGGGUUUAAAGGGAGCGUAGGCCGGAGAUUAAGCGUGUUGUGAAAUGUAGAUGCUCAACAUCUGCACUGCAGCGCGAACUGGUUUCCUUGAGUACGCAUAAAGUGGGCGGAAUUCGUGGUGUAGCGGUGAAAUGCUUAGAUAUCACGAAGAACUCCGAUUGCGAAGGCAGCUCACUGGGGCGCAACUGACGCUGAAGCUCGAAAGCGCGGGUAUCGAACAGGAUUAGAUACCCUGGUAGUCCGCGCGGUAAACGAUGGAUGCCCGCUGUUGGGCCAACUGGUUCAGCGGCCAAGCGAAAGCAUUAAGCAUCCCACCUGGGGAGUACGCCGGCAACGGUGAAACUCAAAGGAAUUGACGGGGGCCCGCACAAGCGGAGGAACAUGUGGUUUAAUUCGAAGCAACGCGAAGAACCUUACCUAGACUUGACAUCUCCUGCAUUACCCUUAAUCGGGAAAGUUCCUUCGGGGACAGGAAGACAGGUGGUGCAUGGUUGUCGUCAGCUCGUGUCGUGAGAUGUUGGGUUAAGUCCCGCAACGAGCGCAACCCUUAUUGUUAGUUGCUACCAUUUAGUUGAGCACUCUAGCGAGACUGCCCGGGUUAACCGGGAGGAAGGUGGGGAUGACGUCAAAUCAUCAUGCCCCUUAUGUCUAGGGCUACACACGUACUACAAUGGCAAGUACAAAGAGAUGCAAUACCGCGAGGUGGAGCAAAACUCAAAAACUUGUCUCAGUUCGGAUUGUAGGCUGAAACUCGCCUACAUGAAGCUGGAGUUGCUAGUAAUCGCGAAUCAGCAUGUCGCGGUGAAUACGUUCCCGGGCCUUGUACACACCGCCCGUCACACCAUGAUAGUUGGCAAUACCCAAAGUGCGUGAUCUAACUCGCAAGAGAGGAAGCGCCCUAAGGUAGGGUCAGCGAUUGGGGUGAAGUCGUAACAAGGUA